rnacentral:rRNA from 1 species
GAUGAACGCUGGCGGCGUGCUUAACACAUGCAAGUCGAACGGUGAAAGAGAGCUUGCUCUCUGGUUCAGUGGCGAACGGGCGAGUAACACGUGAGCAAUCUGCCCCUGACUCUGGGAUAAGCGCUGGAAACGGCGUCUAAUACCGGAUACGAGCUGCGAAGGCAUCUUCAGCAGCUGGAAAGAACUUCGGUCAGGGAUGAGCUCGCGGCCUAUCAGCUAGUUGGUGAGGUAACGGCUCACCAAGGCGUCGACGGGUAGCCGGCCUGAGAGGGGGACCGGCCACACUGGGACUGAGACACGGCCCAGACUCCUACGGGAGGCAGCAGUGGGGAAUAUUGCACAAUGGGCGAAAGCCUGAUGCAGCAACGCCGCGUGAGGGACGACGGCCUUCGGGUUGUAAACCUCUUUUAGCAGGGAAGAAGCGAAAGUGACGGUACCUGCAGAAAAAGCACCGGCUAACUACGUG